UUUUCGGGUUGUGACUAUAACUGGAUUUGGAAAGCGAGUAUACCUCUGAAGAUCCAAAUCUUUAUGUGACAAUUGUCGCAAAAUGCAAUCUUAACCAGAGAUGUGAUGAAGCACAAGGGGUGGAAAAAAGACCCUAAAUGCUCCUUUUGUGCUGCAAAAGAAACAUCACAACAUCUCUUUUUUACCUGCCCAGUGGCCAGGGUAACUUGGAGAGCGGUGGCUUGUAUGUUUGGGACUGAUCUAUGCCCAAACAGCCUGUGGCAAACAUAUUUGUGGUGUUAUUCUUUCUUCCUAGAAGGGGAAGUGUUCUAUACAGUGGGCAUUGCUGCCAUAUGCUAG
rnacentral:rRNA from 1 species